AACGAACGCUGGCGGCAGGCUUAACACAUGCAAGUCGAACGCCCCGCAAGGGGAGUGGCAGACGGGUGAGUAACGCGUGGGAACAUACCCUUUCCUGCGGAAUAGCUCUGGGAAACUGGAAUUAAUACCGCAUACGCCCUACGGGGGAAAGAUUUGUCGGGGAAGGAUUGGCCCGCGUUGGAUUAGCUCGUUGGUGGGGUAAAGGCCUACCAAGGCGACGAUCCAUAGCUGGUCUGAGAGGAUGAUCAGCCACAUUGGGACUGAGACACGGCCCAAACUCCUACGGGAGGCAGCAGUGGGGAAUAUUGGACAAUGGGCGCAAGCCUGAUCCAGCCAUGCCGCGUGAGUGAUGAAGGCCUUAGGGUUGUAAAGCUCUUUCACCGAUGAAGAUAAUGACGGUAGUCGGAGAAGAAGCCCCGGCUAACUUCGUGCCAGCCGCCGCUGUAAUAC
rnacentral:rRNA from 1 species